rnacentral:rRNA from 1 species
UACGUAGGUGGCAAGCGUUGUUCGGAAUUAUUGGGCGUAAAGGGCGCGUAGGCGGCCUGGUAAGUCGGGUGUGAAAGCCCGGGGCUCGACCCCGGAACGGCACCCGAUACUGCGGGGCUUGAGACCGGGAGAGGAGACUGGAAUUCAUGGUGUAGCAGUGAAAUGCGUAGAGAUCAUGAGGAAGACCAGUGGCGAAGGCGGGUCUCUGGACAGUUCCUGACACUGAGGCACGAAGGCCAGGGGAGCAAACGGG